GACGAACGCUGGCGGCGUGCCUAAUACAUGCAAGUCGAGCGGACUAAUGGGAGCUUGCUCCCGUUAGUUAGCGGCGGACGGGUGAGUAACACGUGGGCAACCUACCUGUAAGACUGGGAUAACUUCGGGAAACCGGAGCUAAUACCGGAUGACAUAAAGGAACUCCUGUUCCUUUAUUGAAAGAUGGCCUCGGCUAUCACUUACAGAUGGGCCCGCGGCGCAUUAGCUAGUUGGUGAGGUAACGGCUCACCAAGGCGGCGAUGCGUAGCCGACAUGGAAGGGGGAUCGGCCACACUGGGACUGAGAAACGGCCCAGACUCCUACGGGAGACAGCAGUAGGGAAUCUUCCGCAAUGGACGAAAGUCUGACGGAGCAACGCCGCGUGAGCGAUGAAGGCCUUCGGGUCGUAAAGCUCUGUUGUUAGGGAAGAAUAAGUGCUAGUUGAAUAAGCUGGCACCUUGACGGUACCUAACCAGAAAGCCACGGCUAACUACGUGCCAGCCGCCGCAGUAAUAC
rnacentral:rRNA from 1 species